rnacentral:rRNA from 1 species
GCAGCAGGUCUCCAAGGUUAACAGCCUCUAGUUUCUAGAAUAAUGUAGGUAAGGGAAGUCGGCAGAACUGAUCCGUAACUUCGGGAUAAGGAUUGGCUCUGAUGGAUGGGUCGUUCGGGCUGUGAUCAGAAGCAAGUGAUGCACUCGGCUUGGACUGGUGAUGUUUGAUUCGUCGGACGUCGUCGGACCUAUGCCGGUGUCUGCUUGGGGACGGUGAUGGCUACGCUCUGGUGUCCUGUACACCGGAAGUCGUUUCGGGCGACAAUAAACAUCCGACUCAGAACUGGCACGGACCCCGGGAAUCCGACUGUCUAAUUAAAAC